UUCCUCCUUUAAAAGUAUCAUUGGAGGGCAGUCUGGUGCCAGCAGCCGCGGUAAUUCCAGCUCCAAUAGCGUAUAUUAAAAUUGUUGCAGUUAAAAAGCUCGUAGUUGAAUUUCUGCUGCAUCGUCGCAUCUCUUGCUGAGUGCUUCGUUUCGGCUUAUUUCGGAUUGAUUUUUUCUUUCCGGAUGAUUACUUUGAGAAAAUUAGAGUGCUCAAAGCAGGCUUUUGCCUUGAAUAGUUUAGCAUGGAAUAAUAAAGUAGGACUUUGGUUCUAUUUUGUUGGUUUUAGGUACCAAAGUAAUGGUUAAUAGGAACAGUUGGGGGCAUUCGUAUUUAACUGUCAGAGGUGAAAUUCUUAGAUUUGUUAAAGACGAACUACUGCGAAAGCAUUUGCCAAGGAUGUUUUCAUUAAUCAAGAACGAAAGUUAGGGGAUCGAAGACGAUCAGAUACCGUCGUAGUCCUC
rnacentral:rRNA from 1 species